ACCCGCUGAAUUUAAGCAUAUUAGUAAGCGGAGGAAAGAAACUAACCAGGAUUCCUCUAGUAACGGCGAGUGAACGGGGAUUAGCCCAUCACCGAAGCCCGUGUGUUUUUGCAUACAGGGCAAUGUGGUGUUAAGGCUUGCACCUGGGACUGUGAACUCACCAAAAGUCCAGCUCCGAUUCUGGCUUAUUGUAGUCCAAAGCGGGUGAAAGACCCGUGAUGGUGGGUUAUGUAGUUUAUCGCAGUCCUCAGAUGUGCGUGCCUUCGAGUCGGAUUGCUUGAGAUGCAGUCCAAAGUGGGUGGUAACUCCAUCCAAGGCUAAAUACUGGCAUGAGUCCGAUAGUAGACAAGUACCGUGAGGGAAGUUGAAAAGUACUCUGAAGAGAGAGUAAAUAGUACGUGAAGCCGAUUGCAGGGAAGCUGGUGGAGUCAAGCUUCAUGCUUGAGGAAUUCUUGUCAUGAGUUUAUUGUGGAUUUGCAUGUGAUCAGUCAGCUUGGAAUAAGUUGGGCACAUUCGUGUGCUUCAAGUCAUUCUGGGUAGUGUGUUUGAAGCUGGUCAUUAUGUUUUGCUCAUGAUAAUCUAUUCUUCGUGGCAUAAAUCACAGUCGAUAUUGUUGCGCCCGAUGAUUGUCUAACUGUGCUUCGGUAGGCCUUGUGCUUACCGGGUGCAGAACGGGAGGUACGGCCAUUAGCCUCGUGUUAAUGUGUCUACGAAGAUGAGCCGACUUUCAUCUGUGGUGUCUUCAGUAUCGUGAUUGCAUGGUGCUACGCCUUUGGGCCUGGCAUUAGUUAGAACUGUGAUUCUGAGGUAGACGUUCCACCCGACCCGUCUUGAAACACGGACCA
rnacentral:rRNA from 1 species